rnacentral:tRNA from 1 species
GGUUGUGGCUCAGGGGCAGAGCACUUGCCUGGCAUGUGUGAGGCACUGGGUUCAAUUCUCAGUACCA